AUCUGUUGUAGCCGGGGAGCAGGCGGCCACGUUCUGGGACCUAAGCUCAUUCAUUGCUCAGUUCCCCAGGUCCUGAAUCCAGCCUCACAUCCCACGCCACACAGGCUGUGGCACAAAAGGGACAAACACCCUCAAGACCUAGGCCAGAUAAUUAUCAAGCAAAUUCCCUUCAAUUUCCUGCCUUCACCCCCACCCCCACCCUCGGGCACUGCCUGCUGCGCGUUCCCUGAUUCGGCCCCGGCUGUGCAAUCAACGCCAGGUAACCUGCGGGGCCCUGUAAUUGCUCUGGAGUUGCCUGGGACUUUGCGAGAACCGUACUCAUGUCUACCUGGCACCCAAAUUAGCGGCAUUAAGAGUUUGGCUUUGCAGAUGGAGAAAACUGAACUCAAGACUUGUUUGCUGGACAGUCCUGAGUGAAUCAUCUCUUCUCUUCCUCAGUGUGACAGAAUGAGAGUUUCUCGUCCGGCUGGUGUGGAGAUGAGGAAAACUUGCAGGACUUGUGAACGACAGCGGAAGCUGCAAAGUGUGGUGGAGAUCUCUGUCCUGCUGUUUAAGAAGUGGGCCUCCGAGGGUCUGAGCCUAGCCACCUAGAGGAGAGUGGUCUGGCCAUCAUAGAGUUCCUCAUGCCACAUCU
rnacentral:lncRNA from 1 species